CGGGUUGGCUGGAUGGUCGCGGGUGGUGAGGGUUCUGCCCUCAUCACCUGAGGAAAGUCCGCACUCCACAGGGCACGGUGCCGGGUAACACCCGGGCGGGGAAACCCGACGGCAUAGUGCAGCAGAGAGGUGUAUUGCCGGUGCAAACCGGCGAGGGUGAAACGGUGCGGUAAGAGCGCACCGGCACGUCUGGUAACAGGCGUGGCCAGGCAAACCCCACCGGGAGCAAGGCCAAGCAGGAGCAAUAGGACGGCCCGUCCUGCUCCGGGUAGGCUGCUCGAGGCGGUUGGCAACAACCGUCCCAGAUAGAUGACCGUCCAUGACAGAAUGCGGCUUAUAGGCCAACCUGAGCA
rnacentral:RNase_P_RNA from 1 species